UUGAUAAGCGACAAUUAGCCACGCACACAUAUGCUGUAAAUGUGACUAUAUUCCAUCUGUAAAAGCAUGAUUUGGCAAUUCAGAACCUGAUGAGAUGGGUCUAUUCAUUCAGGACCUGAUGAAAUGGGUCUAUUCAUUCAGAACCUGAUGAGAUGGGUCUAUUCAUUCAGAACCUGAUGAAAUGGGUCUAUUCUUGAUAUGAGCGCUCAUUUGGAGGACACAUCUAUCAUUCUACUGAAGUACGUGACUCAGUGCGUUUGCGAGCUGUAUGAGACUUGCACGAAAUCGUGUGUCUUAGUGGAAUUAAUAUCAAGAUAAAAGCGUUGAUUAAUGUAUACGAGAACAGUAUACAACAAGUUACGAUGGUUAUUGCGGACCAAUGCGUCACGCAUGGUGAUUGCAAUGUGAUGACGGCUUCCCCAACGGAUGUGUGAACGGAAUGUGCCCAACUAACACAUUAUGCGCCACCCCGAUGGACUGCAAAAUCAUCUCGUAUUUAAAUUGCCCCCGAACGUGGCAGUGUUCGAAUAACAGAUGUCAGUGCUCCUUAGCAAUCGGGUGAUGCUCUUUGUGAUUUGCUGUUACUUGUGUAUAUUUUAAUUAAAUACAUUGUAUAAGGUUCAACGAAUAUCGUUUGUUCUUGUUUCUUUGAACCUUGUCAGUGUGAA